rnacentral:tRNA from 1 species
CCUGGUGGCUCAGAUGGUAAAGCAUCUGCCUACAGUGCAGGAGACCCGGGUUCAAUUCCUGGGUCAGGA